rnacentral:rRNA from 1 species
UUAACACAUGCAAGUCGAGGGGCAGCACAGGUAGCAAUACCGGGUGGCGACCGGCGCACGGGUGAGUAACGCGUAUGCAACUUGCCUAUCAGAGGGGGAUAACCCGGCGAAAGUCGGACUAAUACCGCAUGAAGCAGGGGCCCCGCAUGGGGAUAUUUGCUAAAGAUUCAUCGCUGAUAGAUAGGCAUGCGUUCCAUUAGGCAGUUGGCGGGGUAACGGCCCACCAAACCGACGAUGGAUAGGGGUUCUGAGAGGAAGGUCCCCCACAUUGGUACUGAGACACGGACCAAACUCCUACGGGAGGCAGCAGUGAGGAAUAUUGGUCAACGGCCGAGAGGCUGAACCAGCCAAGUCGCGUGAGGGAUGAAGGUUCUAUGGAUCGUAAACCUCUUUUAUAAGGGAAUAAAGUGCGGGACGUGUCCCGUUUUGUAUGUACCUUAUGAAUAAGGAUCGGCUAACUCCGUGCCAGCAGCCGCGGUAAUACGGAGGAUCCGAGCGUUAUCCGGAUUUAUUGGGUUUAAAGGGUGCGUAGGCGGCCUUUUAAGUCAGCGGUGAAAGUCUGUGGCUCAACCAUAGAAUUGCCGUUGAAACUGGGGGGCUUGAGUAUGUUUGAGGCAGGCGGAAUGCGUGGUGUAGCGGUGAAAUGCAUAGAUAUCACGCAGAACCCCGAUUGCGAAGGCAGCCUGCCAAGCCAUUACUGACGCUGAUGCACGAAAGCGUGGGGAUCAAACAGGAUUAGAUACCCUGGUAGUCCACGCAGUAAACGAUGAUCACUAGCUGUUUGCGAUACACUGUAAGCGGCACAGCGAAAGCGUUAAGUGAUCCACCUGGGGAGUACGCCGGCAACGGUGAAACUCAAAGGAAUUGACGGGGGCCCGCACAAGCGGAGGAACAUGUGGUUUAAUUCGAUGAUACGCGAGGAACCUUACCCGGGUUUGAACGCAUUCGGACCGAGGUGGAAACACCUUUUCUAGCAAUAGCCGUUUGCGAGGUGCUGCAUGGUUGUCGUCAGCUCGUGCCGUGAGGUGUCGGCUUAAGUGCCAUAACGAGCGCAACCCUUGCCACUAGUUACUAACAGGUUAGGCUGAGGACUCUGGUGGGACUGCCAGCGUAAGCUGCGAGGAAGGCGGGGAUGACGUCAAAUCAGCACGGCCCUUACAUCCGGGGCGACACACGCGUUACAAUGGCGUGGACAAAGGGAUGCCACCUGGCGACAGGGAGCGAAUCCCCAAACCACGUCUCAGUUCGGAUCGGAGUCUGCAACCCGACUCCGUGAAGCUGGAUUCGCUAGUAAUCGCGCAUCAGCCAUGGCGCGGUGAAUACGUUCCCGGGCCUUGUACACACCGCCCGUCAAGCCAUGGGAGCCGGGGGUACCUGAAGUCCGUAACCGAAAGGAUCGGCCUAGGGUAAAACUGGUGACUGGGGCU